UCUUUGCUAGUAUAUCGGUUAGUACACGCGCUUGUCAUAUGGUUACACGCUGUGUAAUGUUGCCGCGCGAAAGCUGGGUUCGACUCCCAGGCAGAGAG